rnacentral:tRNA from 1 species
GGGGUUGUGGCUCAAGUGGUAGAGUGCUCGCCUAGCAAGUGUGAGGCACUGGGUUCAAUCCUCAGCACCUCA